rnacentral:rRNA from 1 species
UACGGAGGAUGCGAGCGUUAUCCGGAUUUAUUGGGUUUAAAGGGUGCGUAGGCGGCUUUGUAAGUCAGCGGUGAAAUUUUGCAGCUUAACUGUAACAGUGCCGUUGAUACUGUGAGGCUAGGAUUUGGUUGCUGUGGGUGGAAUGUGUGGUGUAGCGGUGAAAUGCUUAGAGAUCACACAGAAUAUCGAUUGCGAAGGCAGCUCACAAAGCCAAGAUUGACGCUGAGGCACGAAAGUGUGGGGAUCAAACAGGAUUAGAUACCCUGGUAGUCCACACUGUAAACGAUGAUAACUCGCUGUCGGCGAUAUACAGUCGGUGGCCAAGCGAAAGCGAUAAGUUAUCCACCUGGGGAGUACGACCGCAAGGUUGAA